rnacentral:lncRNA from 1 species
GCUCUGCGAAGUUCGAGCCAGCUUGCCUGUCGGUGUUUGUGUGUGUAUAUAAUCCCUUACCUUUUGGGGGAAGGGGAAGGGGAGACAGAACAGGUCAUUACGUUUAAAACUCUAAAUUGUGUAGCAGCAAUAUGCAGCAAGCAAUCCUUUGUCAGAAUUGAAUCUACCCAACUGGUCCUGUGAUCAAGAUUGAACCUGCUGAAAAUUCCCUAAAUGAGAUUAUGUUGAACAAUGGCAUCUCAAUUCAAGUUACUGGAAUUUGGGCUGAACUGGUGUAACCCAAAAAGACCUCUUCACAGGAAAGAAGGUCACACUUGCCUUUCCAACAGCAGGUAACCAUCUUCCAGACUUGGAAACAGCCAAAUCAGCCAGAGAUACAGAGGUUCAAAUAAGUGGGAUUUCUCUUAUGUAUGACUUCCAGGAUUCCAAGCAAAUCUUGAUGGCAUUCACUUCAUUUAUAACCUGUUCUAGAAGAGAUCACUACAUCACUCCAGGUUGUUUCCAGCAGAA